GACGAACGCUGGCGGCGUGCCUAAUACAUGCAAGUAGAACGCUGAAGGAGGAGCUUGCUUCUCUGGAUGAGUUGCGAACGGGUGAGUAACGCGUAGGAAACCUGCCUGGUAGCGGGGGAUAACUAUUGGAAACGAUAGCUAAUACCGCAUAAUAGUAGAUGUUGCAUGACAUUUGCUUAAAAGGUGCAAUUGCAUCACUACCAGAUGGACCUGCGUUGUAUUAGCUAGUUGGUGGGGUAACGGCUCACCAAGGCGACGAUACAUAGCCGACCUGAGAGGGUGAUCGGCCACACUGGGACUGAGACACGGCCCAGACUCCUACGGGAGGCAGCAGUAGGGAAUCUUCGGCAAUGGACGGAAGUCUGACCGAGCAACGCCGCGUGAGUGAAGAAGGUUUUCGGAUCGUAAAGCUCUGUUGUAAGAGAAGAACGAGUGUGAGAGUGGAAAGUUCACACUGUGACGGUAUCUUACCAGAAAGGGACGGCUAACUACGUG
rnacentral:rRNA from 1 species